rnacentral:rRNA from 1 species
CCUACGGGGGACAGCAGUGAGGAAUAUUGGUCAAUGGACGCAAGUCUGAACCAGCCAUGCCGCGUGCAGGAAGACGGCUCUAUGAGUUGUAAACUGCUUUUGUACGAGGGUAAACGCAGAUACGCGUAUCUGUCUGAAAGUAUCGUACGAAUAAGGAUCGGCUAACUCCGUGCCCGCAGCCGCGGUAAUACGGCGGAUUCAAGCGUUAUCCGGAUUUCUUGGGUUUAAAGGGUGCGUAGGCGGUCGGAUAAGUUAGAGGUGAAAUCCCGAGGCUCAACUUCGGAAUUGCCUCUGAUACUGUUCGGCUAGAGAGUAGUUGCGGUAGGCGGAAUGCGUGGUGUAGCGGUGAAAUGCAUAGAGAUCACGCAGAACCCCGAUUGCGAAGGCAGCAUGCCGGCUUCCGACUGACGCUGAAGCACGAAAGCGUGGGGAUCGAACAGGAUUAGAUACCCGGGUAGUC